rnacentral:rRNA from 1 species
GAUGAACGCUGGCGGCGUGCCUAAUACAUGCAAGUCGAACGAAACUUCUUUAUCACCGAGUGCUUGCACUCACCGAUAAAGGGUUGAGUGGCGAACGGGUGAGUAACACGUGGGCAACCUGCCCAAAAGAGGGGGAUAACACUUGGAAACAGGUGCUAAUACCGCAUAACCAUAGUUACCGCAUGGUAACUAUGUAAAAGGUGGCUAUACUACCGCUUUUGGAUGGGCCCGCGGCGCAUUAGCUAGUUGGUAGGGUAAAGGCUUACCAAGGCAAUGAUGCGUAGCCGAAUUGAGAGGUUGAUCGGCCACAUUGGGACUGAGACACGGCCCAAACUCCUACGGGAGGCAGCAGUAGGGAAUCUUCCACAAUGGGCGAAAGCCUGAUGGAGCAACGCCGCGUGGGUGAAGAAGGUCUUCGGAUCGUAAAACCCUGUUGUUAGAGAAGAAAGUGCGUGAGAGUAACUGUUCACGUUUCGACGGUAUCUAACCAGAAAGCCACUGCUAACUACGUG